GAAAUGCGAUAAGUAAUGUGAAUUGCAGAAUUCAGUGAAUCAUCGAAUCUUUGAACGCACAUUGCGCCCGCCAGUAUUCUGGCGGGCAUGCCUGUUCGAGCGUCAUUUCAACCAUCAAGCCCCGCGCUUGUGUUGGGGACCUGCGGCUGCCGCAGGCCCUGAAAACCAGUGGCGGGCUCGCUGUCACACCGGGCGUAGUAGAUUUUAUCUCGCUCAGGGCGUGCUGCGGGUUCCGGGCGUUAAAAAGCCUUUUUUACCCAAGGUUGACCUCGGAUCAGGUAGGAAGACCCGCUGAACUUAAGC
rnacentral:misc_RNA from 1 species